rnacentral:misc_RNA from 1 species
UAUGUUGACCAUCACGCCAGG